rnacentral:rRNA from 1 species
GACAGAGGGUGCAAACGUUGUUCGGAAUGACUGGGCGUAAAGCGCGUGUAGGCGGCCUCGCAAGUCGGGUGUGAAAGCCCUGGGCUCAACCCAGGAAGUGCACUCGAAACUGCAAGGCUUGAGUUCCGGAGAGGAAGGCGGAAUUCUCGGUGUAGAGGUGAAAUUCGUAGAUAUCGAGAGGAACACCGGUGGCGAAGGCGGCUUUCUGGACGGCGACUGACGCUGAGACGCGAAAGCGUGGGGAGCAAACAGG